ANUNAACGCUGGCGGCAGGCCUAACACAUGCAAGCUCGAGCGGUAACAGAANAGUAGCUUGCUACUUUGCUGACGAGCGGCGGACGGGUGAGUAAUGCUUGGGAACAUGCCUUGAGGUGGGGGACAACNGUUGGAAACCACUGCUAAUACCGCAUAAUGUCUACGGACCAAAGGGGGCUUCCGCUCUCNCCUUUANAUUGNCCCANGUGGGAUUAGCUAGUUGGUGAGGUAAUGGCUCACCAAGGCCACNAUCCCUAGCUGGUUUGAGAGGAUGAUCANCCACACUGGGACUGANACACGGCCCANACUCCUACGGGAGGCAGCAGUGGGNAAUAUUGCACAAUGGGCGCANGCCUGAUGCANCCAUGCCGCGUGUGUGAANAAGGCCUUCGGGUUGUAAAGCACUUUCNNUCAGGANGAAAGGUUAGUAGUUAAUACCUGCUAGCUGUGACGUUACUGACAGAANAAGCACCGGCUAACUCCGUGCCAGCAGCCGCNGGUAAUA
rnacentral:rRNA from 1 species